AAUUACACUAUUAAAAAUUAUAAUUAUUAUCCCAAUAAUACUUAUUUUAUUAAAAAACCCUAUGUCCAUAGGAAUAAUACUUAUUGUACAAACAUUAUUUAUAUGUAUGUUAAUAAAUAAAAUAAUAAUUACAACAUGAUUUAUAAUAAUUACAUUUUUAAUAAUAAUUGGUGGAUUAAUGAUUCUAUUUAUAUAUAUAAGAAGAAUUGCAUCAAAUGAAAAAUUUAAAUUAAAUAUAAAUAUAACAUUAACAAUAAUUAUUUUUAUUAUUAUCAGUGACGAAAUAAUAAAUGAAAACCAAGUAAUAGAUAAACUAGAAUUAUCAGAAAAUAACCCAAUAGAAAAAAUUUCAAUAAUCAAAUUAUACAAUGAAAAAUCAAUAAUCAUUACUAUAAUUAUAGUAAUAUUUUUACUAUUAACUAUAAUUUCCACAACAAAAAUUGUCAAAUUACACGAAGGACCUUUACGAAAAAAAACUUAUGAAUAAGCCAAUACGAAAAAAUAACCCAAUUAUUAAAAUUAUUAAUUACUCAUUAAUUGAUUUACCAGCCCCUUUAAAUUUAUCAUCAUGAUGAAAUUUUGGAUCAAUUUUAGGUUUAUGCUUAACUAUUCAACUAAUUACAGGUAUUUUAUUAUCAAUACAUUAUACAUCAAAUAUUGAAAUAGCAUUUAAUAGAGUAAAUCACAUUACUCGAGAUGUAAAUUAUGGUUGAUUAAUGCGAACAAUCCAUUCAAAUGGUGCAUCAAUAUUUUUUAUCUGCAUAUAUUUACAUACAGGACGACGAGGUAUAUAUUAUGGAUCAUACAAGUUUAUUAAGACAUGAAUAGUAGGAGUAAUAAUUAUAUUAUUAACAAUAGCUACAGCAUUCUUAGGGUACGUUUUACCAUGAGGUCAAAUAUCUUUUUGAGGAGCAACUGUUAUUACAAAUUUAUUGUCAGCGCUCCCUUACAUUGGAAGAAUAUUAGUUAACUGAAUUUGAGGAGGAUUCGCUGUAGAUAAUGCAACACUAUCACGAUUUUUUAGACUUCAUUUUCUUUUACCAUUUAUUAUUAUAAUAAUAACAAUUAUUCAUCUAUUUUUUCUUCAUAUAACAGGUUCAAAUAACCCAAUUGGGAUUAACUCAAACAUUGACAAAAUUCCAUUUCACCCAUAUUUCUCAAUUAAAGACUUAAUAGGAUUUUCAAUUAUCAUCACUAUACUUCUAAUUUUAAAUAUAACUGAACCUUACAUAUUAUCAGACCCAGAUAAUUUUACUCCUGCAAACCCUAUGGUAACCCCAAUUCACAUUCAACCUGAAUGAUACUUCUUAUUUGCAUAUGCAAUUCUACGGUCAAUUCCUAAUAAAUUAGGGGGGGUGAUGGCAUUGUUUUUAUCAAUUUUAAUUUUAAUAAUUUUACCAUUCUCCAUAAAAAUAAAAUUUAAAGGAAUUGAAUUUUAUCCAAUUAAUCAAAUCAACUUUUGAAUAUUUUCUUCAACAGUAAUUCUUCUAACAUGAAUUGGAGCACGGCCUGUAGAACUACCCUAUACAGAAACAGGAAUAAUAUUAACAGUUAUAUAUUUUAUUUACUUUAUCAGAGAUCCAUUAAUUUCAAAAAUAUGAGAUAAAAUUAUUAAAUAGUUAUUUAGCUUAUAUAAAGUUUAUAUUUUGAAAAUAUAGGAAAGAGAAAUUUAAUAACUUUACAAAAAAAAAUGAUAAAAGACUAAAACCUUAAUAAAAACAAAAAAAAUAAUAAAACUUAAAGAAAUAGGAAGAUAACACUUCCAUGCUAAAUAUAUAAGUUUAUCAUAACGAAACCGAGGAAAAGAACAACGAACUCAAAUAAAUAAAAAACAAAAAAAAAUUAACUUAAUAAAAAAAAUAAAUCUAUAAAAAUCACCCCCAAAAAAAAUAAUAACAGUUAAACUAGAAAUAAAAAUAAUACUAGCAUAUUCAGAAAUAAAUAAUAAAGCAAAUCCGCCAGAACCAUACUCAAUAUUAAAUCCAGAAACUAAUUCACUUUCCCCCUCAGAAAAAUCAAAUGGUGUACGAUUUCUCUCAGCUAAACAACAAGAAAAUCAGCAUAAAAAUAUAGGAACUGAACAAAAAAAAAAUCAUCUACUAAUCUGAAAAACAAAAAAAUUAAUAAAAUUGUAACCAUUAAUUAUUAAAAAAAAACAUAAUAUAAUUAAAGAUAAUGAAACCUCAUAAGAAAUAGCCUGUGAAAUUCUACGAAUACAUCCUAACAUAGAAUAACUUCUAUUUGAAGAUCAGCCACAAAUAAUAAGACCAUAAAUUCUAAGUCUAGAACAACAUAAAAAAAAUAACAUACCAAAAACAAAAUCUAAUACAAUUUCAAUAAAAAGGAAAUAAACACCAAAUAAAUAAAGAUUGAAUCAAACUAAAUAAAGGGCAUAAAUAAUAAAUUAAUGAAUUAGAAUUAAUUGGUCAAACCUGCUCCUUUAAAAAAAGCUUAAUACCAUCUCUAAAAGGUUGCAGUAAGCCCAUAAAACCUACUUUAUUUGGGCCUUUGCGAAUCUGUAUAUAACUUAGAACCUUGCGUUCUAAUAAAGUGAAAAAAACCGACAGAAACUAUUACUAAAAUAAUUAAAAUUAAAGAUGUAAUAAAAAAAAUUACUAGAUAUGAAUUAAUCAUUUUUAUAAAUUCUAAAUUUAUUGCACUAAAAUCUGCCAAUCUAGCAUUAUUUCAACACAAUAUAAAUUGGAUUUAAUGGUCCUUUCGUACUAAAAAAAUCUUAAUAUUUCUAGAUAGAAACCAACCUGGCUUACACCGGUUUGAACUCAAAUCAUGUAAGAAUUUAAAAGUCGAACAGACUUAGAAAUGAAAAACCUGCCCCUCAAUCUAAUCUUAAUUCAACAUCGAGGUCGCAAACUUUAAUAUAGAUAAGAACUCCUCAUUAAAAUAACGCUGUUAUCCCUAAGGUAACUUAAUCUUAAAAUCAUUAUUGGAUCUAAAUUACAUAAAUUAAAUGAAUUAAAAAAAUAAAGUCAAAUUUAUCUUCCG